UACGUAGGGUGCAAGCGUUGUCCGGAAUUAUUGGGCGUAAAGAGCUCGUAGGCGGUCUGUCGCGUCUGCUGUGAAAACUCAGGGCUUAACCCUGAGCUUGCAGUGGGUACGGGCAGACUAGAGUGCGGUAGGGGAGACUGGAAUUCGUUGGUGUAGCAGUGAAAUGCGUAGAUAUCAAGAGGAACACCAGUGGCGAAGGCGAGUCCCUGGACAACACCUGACACUGGAGGCACGAAAGCUAGGGGAGCAAACAGG
rnacentral:rRNA from 1 species